rnacentral:rRNA from 1 species
ACCGGCAGCUCAAGUGGUGGCCAUUUUUAUGGGGCCAAAGCGGUUCGUACCCGGUUGGUAAAGUCCUUGGGGAAAUCCCCCACCUUAAUGUUGGGCCUUCUGGGAGAUACUAUUAGACUUGAGGUCGGGAGAGGUUAGGGGUACUCCCAGGGUAGGGGUGAAAUCCUAUAAUCCUGGGAGGACCACCUGUGGCGAAGGCGCCUAACUGGAACGAACCUGACGGUGAGUAACGAAAGCCAGGGGCGCGAACCG